rnacentral:rRNA from 1 species
GUCAAGUCAUCAUGCCCCUUAUGUCCAGGGCUUCACGCAUGCUACAAUGGCCGGUACAGAGGGCUGCGAAGCCGCGAGGUGGAGCGAAUCCCGCAAAGCCUGUCGUAGUUCGGAUUGCAGGCUGCAACUCGCCUGCAUGAAGCCGGAGUUGCUAGUAACCGUGGGUCAGCCACACUACGGUGAAUACGUUCCCGGGCCUU